UGCCAGCAGCCGCGGUAAUACGGAGGAUCCAAGCGUUAUCCGGAAUCAUUGGGUUUAAAGGGUCCGUAGGCGGUCUGAUAAGUCAGAGGUGAAAUCCUGCAGCUCAACUGUAGCAUUGCCUUUGAUACUGGAAAACUUGAGUUAUUGUGAAGUGGUUAGAAUGUGUGGUGUAGCGGUGAAAUGCAUAGAUAUCACACAGAAUACCGAUUGCGAAGGCAGAUCACUAACAAUAUACUGACGCUCAUGGACGAAAGCGUGGGGAGCGAACAGGAUUAGAUA
rnacentral:rRNA from 1 species